rnacentral:lncRNA from 1 species
CUCUGGGAUAAGCUAUUUGGUGAUAGACACAGUACCUGGACCGGGCAGAGGAGUGGAAUCCAAAGAUAAAGUUAGGAGAACGUACUUCAAGGGGAAAUUUGUCCUUUCACUUGUGGUAUCAUAGUCUUUCAUGGAUCCCAUGCUGUUGUCUGUUUAUUUCUCCUUAAACAAGGAAAAAUAUACCCAGACCCAGUUUUCAUCAACAGACCAGCCCAUGGCAACCAUCACUCUACUUUCUGUCUCUAUGAAUUUGAAUACUCUGGGUAACCUCAUUCUGGGAUGAUAUGAAACCUUGCAGACGACAUGCAUGGAUCAACUCAUGAGACAGUAAAUCACUCAAAAUCUUACUACAAAAGACAACGUCCUUAUUUGCUUUUACAGAAAAAGGGCAUCUGUUGGAGGCUGGAGGAUCUACUGUCAAGAUGACUCACUCUUAUGACUAGCAGGUUGGUGCUGACUUUCAACUUGGAGAUCCGUAAGGCUAUGGGCCAGAGCCUUUGGUUCAGCUCCUUGAGGGCAUCUUCAUGAGACCACUACGGGCAACUCUCCAUCUAUCCCUCCUGAUUCCUUUAUGGACAACUCUCCAUCUAUUCCACCUGAUUCCUCUAUGGACAACUCUCCAUCUAUUCCGCCUGAUUCCUCCAUGGGCAACUGUCCAUGUAUUCCACCUGACUCCCAGCUAGGCUGCAUCCUCCACCAUUGGAAUCAAUUUGACCCUGACAACCUAAAAAGAAAACUGUGAUGAUUAAUACUGAGUGUCAACUUGAUUGGAUAGAAGGAUGCAAAGUAUUGAUCCUGGAUGUGUCUGUGAGGGUAUUGCCAAAGGAGAUUAACAUUUGAGUCAGUGGGCUGGGAAAGGCAGACCCACUCUUAAUCUGGGUGGGCACCAUCUAAUUAGCUGCCAGCAUGGCUAGAAUAUAAAGCAGGCAGAAAAACAUGAAAAAACUAGAUUGGCCUAGCCUCCCGGCAUACAUCUUUCUCCUGUGCUGGAUGAUUCCUGCCUUUGAACAUCGGACUCCAAGUUCUUCAGUUUUGGGACUCACACUGGCUUUCCUUGUUCUUCAGCUUGCAGACAGUCUAUUGUGGGAUGUGGUGAUCGUGUGAGUUAAUACUACUUAAUAAACUCAUACGUAUAAUAUAUAUCAUAUAUAUGAUAUAUAUAUGAUAUAUAUAUAUCAUAUAUAUAUCAUAUAUAUAUAUUCUAUUCAGUCCCUCUACAGAGCCCUGACUAAUACAGAUUUUGGUACCAGGAGUGGUUCUAGAAGAGCAGAAUAUUAAGGCUGGAGUUCUUUCAUUGGUUUUGGGGUUUCUGGAGUUGGCUGCUUAAUAUGAUUAGACCCAAAAAUGCUAAGGACUCUACUUCUAAUAGUAUAGAGAACACUAAUAGUCCUUGGCAUAAACCAUUUAGAGAGUUAUGCAAAAUAAAUGCAUUUGAAAAUCCUGGUUCACUGCUCAUGAGAAGCAAGGAAUUUAGCAACUCUGUACAUAAUACCUUUGAUCGUAUGUGGAAAACCAAGGAACAUAAUAAAGCUGGUCGGUUGC